CAAUCAUUGCCAUUCCAUGCCUUACUGAAACUGGUCAGAAUGGUUUUGGAGAAUUGGACAGGCCCUGAUCUUUCUGAGGAAGGAAAAAGGAGCUCAGCUGAGCUACAAAGUCGGCCUCCUUGAACUUGCAUUAAUUUGAUGUGCAUCCAUCUUAAUUGAAGCUGAUCCAUUUCAGUCUUGGCAGCGCAUUGAUAAUAAACAGGAACCAAACACCAUUUGGCAAAUUCCAAUCUACCAGCAAAACCAGGGAGAAAGCAGAAAACCUGGGGCCAUCUCCUGGAAUCAGUUCCUGGGCUGCAACUCAAUCUUCGACACAACAGACAGGGAAACAGCUUUCCAUCCUGCUGCAGUCCUGCCAGAGCGAGUUUGUUCCUCCAAGUCUGCCUAGGACUGCUUGGAAAGCUUUGGAGAGCCCUUCUUACUUGGUUUGUUGUCUCCCCACGGGAUCACACCUGUGCUGCUCCCACCCUCCUGUUCCUCUCAGUUUCUGUGGGUCCCCAGGACAUCCCAAAGGUUGUCCCUCUGCAACAUUUACAUCUUUCACAUACUUGGGCU